rnacentral:rRNA from 1 species
CCUACGGGAGGCAGCAGUCGGGAAUUUUGCGCAAUGGAGGAAACUGUGACGCAGUGACGCCGCGUGCAGGACGAAGGUUUUCGGAUUGUAAACUGCUUUAGACAGGGAAGAAAAAGGACAGUACCUGUAGAGUAAGCUCCGGCUAACUACGUGCCAGCAGCCGCGGUAAUACGUAGGGAGCAAGCGUUAGUCGGAUGUAUUGGGUGUAAAGGGUACGUAGGCGGUGAAGCAAGUCAGUUGUGAAAGCCCUCGGCUUAACUGAGGUAAUGCAACUAAAACUACUUUCCUUGAGUACUGGAGAGGAAAGUAGAAUUCCUAGUGUAGCGGUGAAAUGCGUAGAUAUUAGGAGGAAUACCAGUGGCGAAGGCGACUUUCUGGACAGUAACUGACGUUGAGGCACGAAAGUGUGGGGAGCAAACAGGAUUAGAUACCCUGGUAGUC